AACGAACGCUGGCGGCAUGCCUAACACAUGCAAGUCGAACGAGACCUUCGGGUCUAGUGGCGCACGGGUGCGUAACGCGUGGGAACCUGCACUUAGGUUCGGAAUAACUCCCCGAAAGGGGUGCUAAUACCGGAUAAUGUCUUCGGACCAAAGAUUUAUCGCCUUUGGAUGGGCCCGCGUUGGAUUAGCUAGUUGGUAGGGUAAAAGCCUACCAAGGCGACGAUCCAUAGCUGGUCUGAGAGGAUGAUCAGCCACACUGGGACUGAGACACGGCCCAGACUCCUACGGGAAGCAGCAGUGGGGAAUAUUGGACAAUGGGCGAAAGCCUGAUCCAGCAAUGCCGCGUGAGUGAUGAGGGCCUUAGGGUUGUAAAGCUCUUUUACCCGGGAUGAUAAUGACAGUACCGGGAGAAUAAGCUCCGGCUAACUCCGUG
rnacentral:rRNA from 1 species